CAGAUAAUGGAGAAGGAAUGUCCCCCCAGCUUUGCUCGGCAGUUUCUAUCCUGCAUGGCAAUCUAUACACUCAGUAUUAGUAUGGGAAGUUCUAUGGGAUUUUCAGGAGUUGCCAUUGUGGACGUAGCUAGCAAAGAAAACGGAUUUGAUAUGGACGUAGAUCAGAUUUCAUGGUUCGGUGAGAUUUAGAUUAAUAUCCCUGGUUUCCCUGGUAUCCCUGGUAUCCCCA